rnacentral:rRNA from 1 species
AUGGCUGGUGUUCUAACGUAGACCCGUAAUCCGGGUUGCGGACAGUGUCUGGUGGGUAGUUUGACUGGGGCGGUCUCCUCCCAAAGAGUAACGGAGGAGCACGAAGGUUAGCUAAUCCUGGUCGGACAUCAGGAGGUUAGUGCAAUGGCAUAAGCUAGCUUGACUGCGAGAGUGACGGCUCGAGCAGGUGCGAAAGCAGGUCAUAGUGAUCCGGUGGUUCUGAAUGGAAGGGCCAUCGCUCAACGGAUAAAAGGUACUCCGGGGAUAACAGGCUGAUACCGCCCAAGAGUUCAUAUCGACGGCGGUGUUUGGCACCUCGAUGUCGGCUCAUCACAUCCUGGGGCUGAAGUAGGUCCCAAGGGUAUGGCUGUUCGCCAUUUAAAGUGGUACGCGAGCUGGGUUUAGAACGUCGUGAGACAGUUCGGUCCCUAUCUGCCGUGGGCGCUGGAGAAUUGAGGGGGGCUGCUCCUAGUACGAGAGGACCGGAGUGGACGCAUCACUGGUGUUCGGGUUGUCAUGCCAAUGGCACUGCCCGGUAGCUAAAUGCGGAAAAGAUAAGUGCUGAAAGCAUCUAAGCACGAAACUUGCCCCGAGAUGAGUUCUCCCUGAGACUUUAAGUCUCCUGAAGGAACGUUGAAGACGACGACGUUGAUAGGUCGGGUGUGUAAGCGCAGCGAUGCGUUGAGCUAACCGAUACUAAUGAACCGUGAGGCUUAACC